CACGCAGGCGGUUUGUUAAGUCAGAUGUGAAAUCCCCGGGCUCAACCUGGGAACUGCAUUUGAAACUGGCAAGCUAGAGUCUCGUAGAGGGGGGUAGAAUUCCGGGUGUAGCGGUGAAAUGCGUAGAGAUCUGGAGGAAUACCGGUGGCGAAGGCGGCCCCUGGACGAAGACUGACGCUCAGGUGCGAAAGCGUGGGGAGCAAACA
rnacentral:rRNA from 1 species